GGGUUGUGAGGUUAAGCGACUAAGCGUACACGGUGGAUGCCCUGGCAGUCAGAGGCGAUGAAGGACGUGCUAAUCUGCGAUAAGCGUCGGUAAGGUGAUAUGAACCGUUAUAACCGGCGAUUUCCGAAUGGGGAAACCCAGUGUGAUUCGUCACACUAUCAUUAACUGAAUCCAUAGGUUAAUGAGGCGAACCGGGGGAACUGAAACAUCUAAGUACCCCGAGGAAAAGAAAUCAACCGAGAUUCCCCCAGUAGCGGCGAGCGAACGGGGAGCAGCCCAGAGCCUGAAUCAGUGUGUGUGUUAGUGGAAGCGUCUGGAAAGGCGUGCGAUACAGGGUGACAGCCCCGUACACAAAAAUGCACAUACUGUGAGCUCGAUGAGUAGGGCGGGACACGUGGUAUCCUGUCUGAAUAUGGGGGGACCAUCCUCCAAGGCUAAAUACUCCUGACUGACCGAUAGUGAACCAGUACCGUGAGGGAAAGGCGAAAAGAACCCCGGCGAGGGGAGUGAAAAAGAACCUGAAACCGUGUACGUACAAGCAGUGGGAGCACGCUUAGGCGUGUGACUGCGUACCUUUUGUAUAAUGGGUCAGCGACUUAUAUUCUGUAGCAAGGUUAACCGAAUAGGGGAGCCGAAGGGAAACCGAGUCUUAACUGGGCGUUAAGUUGCAGGGUAUAGACCCGAAACCCGGUGAUCUAGCCAUGGGCAGGUUGAAGGUUGGGUAACACUAACUGGAGGACCGAACCGACUAAUGUUGAAAAAUUAGCGGAUGACUUGUGGCUGGGGGUGAAAGGCCAAUCAAACCGGGAGAUAGCUGGUUCUCCCCGAAAGCUAUUUAGGUAGCGCCUCGUGAAUUCAUCUCCGGGGGUAGAGCACUGUUUCGGCAAGGGGGUCAUCCCGACUUACCAACCCGAUGCAAACUGCGAAUACCGGAGAAUGUUAUCACGGGAGACACACGGCGGGUGCUAACGUCCGUCGUGAAGAGGGAAACAACCCAGACCGCCAGCUAAGGUCCCAAAGUCAUGGUUAAGUGGGAAACGAUGUGGGAAGGCCCAGACAGCCAGGAUGUUGGCUUAGAAGCAGCCAUCAUUUAAAGAAAGCGUAAUAGCUCACUGGUCGAGUCGGCCUGCGCGGAAGAUGUAACGGGGCUAAACCAUGCACCGAAGCUGCGGCAGCGACGCUUAUGCGUUGUUGGGUAGGGGAGCGUUCUGUAAGCCUGUGAAGGUGUACUGUGAGGUAUGCUGGAGGUAUCAGAAGUGCGAAUGCUGACAUAAGUAACGAUAAAGCGGGUGAAAAGCCCGCUCGCCGGAAGACCAAGGGUUCCUGUCCAACGUUAAUCGGGGCAGGGUGAGUCGACCCCUAAGGCGAGGCCGAAAGGCGUAGUCGAUGGGAAACAGGUUAAUAUUCCUGUACUUGGUGUUACUGCGAAGGGGGGACGGAGAAGGCUAUGUUGGCCGGGCGACGGUUGUCCCGGUUUAAGCGUGUAGGCUGGUUUUCCAGGCAAAUCCGGAAAAUCAAGGCCGAGGCGUGAUGACGAGGCACUACGGUGCUGAAGCAACAAAUGCCCUGCUUCCAGGAAAAGCCUCUAAGCAUCAGGUAACAUCAAAUCGUACCCCAAACCGACACAGGUGGUCAGGUAGAGAAUACCAAGGCGCUUGAGAGAACUCGGGUGAAGGAACUAGGCAAAAUGGUGCCGUAACUUCGGGAGAAGGCACGCUGAUACGUAGGUGAAGCGACUUGCUCGUGGAGCUGAAAUCAGUCGAAGAUACCAGCUGGCUGCAACUGUUUAUUAAAAACACAGCACUGUGCAAACACGAAAGUGGACGUAUACGGUGUGACGCCUGCCCGGUGCCGGAAGGUUAAUUGAUGGGGUUAGCGCAAGCGAAGCUCUUGAUCGAAGCCCCGGUAAACGGCGGCCGUAACUAUAACGGUCCUAAGGUAGCGAAAUUCCUUGUCGGGUAAGUUCCGACCUGCACGAAUGGCGUAAUGAUGGCCAGGCUGUCUCCACCCGAGACUCAGUGAAAUUGAACUCGCUGUGAAGAUGCAGUGUACCCGCGGCAAGACGGAAAGACCCCGUGAACCUUUACUAUAGCUUGACACUGAACAUUGAGCCUUGAUGUGUAGGAUAGGUGGGAGGCUUUGAAGUGUGGACGCCAGUCUGCAUGGAGCCGACCUUGAAAUACCACCCUUUAAUGUUUGAUGUUCUAACGUGGACCCGUAAUCCGGGUUGCGGACAGUGUCUGGUGGGUAGUUUGACUGGGGCGGUCUCCUCCUAAAGAGUAACGGAGGAGCACGAAGGUUGGCUAAUCCUGGUCGGACAUCAGGAGGUUAGUGCAAUGGCAUAAGCCAGCUUGACUGCGAGCGUGACGGUGCGAGCAGGUGCGAAAGCAGGUCAUAGUGAUCCGGUGGUUCUGAAUGGAAGGGCCAUCGCUCAACGGAUAAAAGGUACUCCGGGGAUAACAGGCUGAUACCGCCCAAGAGUUCAUAUCGACGGCGGUGUUUGGCACCUCGAUGUCGGCUCAUCACAUCCUGGGGCUGAAGUAGGUCCCAAGGGUAUGGCUGUUCGCCAUUUAAAGUGGUACGCGAGCUGGGUUUAGAACGUCGUGAGACAGUUCGGUCCCUAUCUGCCGUGGGCGCUGGAGAACUGAGGGGGGCUGCUCCUAGUACGAGAGGACCGGAGUGGACGCAUCACUGGUGUUCGGGUUGUCAUGCCAAUGGCACUGCCCGGUAGCUAAAUGCGGAAGAGAUAAGUGCUGAAAGCAUCUAAGCACGAAACUUGCCCCGAGAUGAGUUCUCCCUGACCCUUUAAGGGUCCUGAAGGAACGUUGAAGACGACGACGUUGAUAGGCCGGGUGUGUAAGCGCAGCGAUGCGUUGAGCUAACCGGUACUAAUGAACCGUGAGGCUUAACCUUACAACGCCGAAG
rnacentral:rRNA from 1 species